rnacentral:rRNA from 1 species
UACGUAGGUGACCAGCGUUGUCCGGAUUUACUGGGCGUAAAGAGCGCGCAGGCGGUCGUUCAAGUCGAGUGUGAAAGCCCCCGGCUCAACUGGGGAGGGUCACUCGAUACUGAUCGACUUGAAGGCAGGAGAGGGAAGCGGAAUUCCCGGUGUAGUGGUGAAAUGCGUAGAUAUCGGGAGGAACACCAGUGGCGAAGGCGGCUUCCUGGCCUGUUCUUGACGCUGAGGCGCGAAAGCUAGGGGAGCAAAGCGGG